UGGGGAAUAUUGCACAAUGGAGGGAACUCUGAUGCAGCGACGCCGCGUGAACGAAGAAGGCUUUCGAGUCGUAAAGUUCUUUUAUAUGGGAAGAUAAUGACGGUACCAUAAGAAGAAGCCCCGGCUAACUACGUGCCAGCAGCCGCGGUAAUACGUAGGGGGCUAGCGUUGUCCGGAAUCACUGGGCGUAAAGGGUUCGCAGGCGGAAAUGCAAGUCAGGUGUAAAAGGCAGUAGCUUAACUACUGUAAGCAUUUGAAACUGCAUAUCUUGAGAAGAGUAGAGGUAAGUGGAAUUUUUAGUGUAGCGGUGAAAUGCGUAGAUAUUAAAAAGAAUACCGGUGGCGAAGGCGACUUACUGGGCUCAUUCUGACGCUGAGGAACAAAAGCGUGGGUAGCAAACAGG
rnacentral:rRNA from 1 species